CUUCAGGACCCUGCCCCACUGGUGGCCAGUGCUGGCCCCCUGGGACCUGAACACAGGUGCCUCUGGCAAGAAAGGGAUCCUGGAGAUUUAUCUGCUGAUUGAAGAAUCAUGGGGAAUGGUUGAUGGUGCUAAUGGGGAGACCUUAUCAUGUGUAUUAAUGACAAAGGCUGCAGUAAAACUCCAGAGCAGUCCCUGGGUCCACACCUCAGCUCACAGAGCAAGUGUGAAACCCACACAUUUGAGAAUGGCUGCAGUGCAGGAUGUCUAACUCUGGACUCUUGGACCCUCCAGAAGCUACAAUCCUUGGAAGGAGGCAGCUGACUUAUGACCUUAGAUACAAUGAGAAAAAUCUCAGCAGAAACUGCCAUUAAAGAUGUCCCACCAGGA